AGCUGUUGUCACUUUCCUUACGGUCUAUUUCAUAAGAGACAGCGUGGCAUGAACAGCAGGAGAAGAGGUACUGCUCAGGAACACUUGGGUCGGGGCUCCAGCCACAGUCCCUUCCCUGCGAGGAAAUGUGCUCUUAGUGGUGCGGUGGGUCGCUGAGAAUUUACAAGGAGGCGGUGUCGCUGGGACCCCCACCACACUCUCCCACCCUGACCAGCAUUCAUUUUUACUGCACCAAUUUUUCUUAUAUUUUAAAAUCUAAGUUUUGAGUUGAAAGUCCAUUUUGAGCCCUUGAGUGUUUUACUGUGUAGUUGGUUUUUUUAAAAAAUAAUUGUUUGAGCAUGAGAUUACUACCAUGAGAAUUAUUCCCAGAACUGGGCUAUGUGACAGUUAGGAUGCUAAUGUGGGCACACGCCAGCCAGGCCAAGUGACUGCUGGGAGGGCCUCUGGGGGCCCUUGGAUCCUGAUACUUUUGCAGAGUGCCCCAAAAGGCCCAUGGUCGUGGGGAUCUCAAGCUGAGCACAUCGCUGGUGUUUUUGAGUCCGUCUGGUUGUGGUCAGUAGCCCAAGUACGGUUUGUGUUUAAUGAGAACUGCCCUGUGGGGUCAGAGCGAGAUGCAGAAGGUAUGGAUGGGUUCUUUUGAAAGUGGACCGGGUGUCAAGGAAGAGCCCUCUUGAGGUGCCAGCAGCUCCAGCGUGGUUCAUAAAACAUGAUGAGGAAGUACAAGGUUUUGUAGGUUACUAGAAACUUCUUUUCAGAGGAAUAGCAUUACAGAAGCUUACUUCUUUCUAGAUGAUUGGCUAGGAAGCUACAAGGUCACCCUGACAUGAAGAAAGCUUAAGUUUUAAGGUCAGAGACAGUGUUUGGGGAAAAUCAGGACAGUGUAAUGAGGAAUCGUCGUGAAAGUGGAUAUUCUUGCCCGGUUCCUGAUCUUAGGGGGUAAGACUUGAGUCUUUCACCAUUAAGUAUGUUAGUUUUAGCUUUUUUGCAGAUGCCCCUUAUCAGGUUGAGGAAGUUCUCUUAUAUUUCUAGCUUGUUAAGAGUUUUUUUUUUUAAUAUGGGUGGAGGUUGAAUUUUGUCACAUUUUUUUUCUGCAUCUCUUUAUGAGAUAAUUUUUUUUCUUUUGGGCUAUUAAUAGGGUGGAUUGCAUUGGUUUUUGAAUAUUAAAGGCAGACUUGCCCUCCUGAAAUAAACAGCACUUGGUUAUGCUGCAUUGUCCUUUCUUUUUUGCUGGAUUUGAUUUGCUGAUUUUUUUUUAAAGGAAUUUUACAUCUACAUUCAUGAGGGAUAUUGUCUGUAGUUUUCUUUCAUUGUAUUUUCUUUGUCUACUUUCGUUAUCAGGAUAAUGUUGGCCACCAAAAAUGAGUUGGAUAAUCUUUCUUUCUCUUCUAUUUUCUGGCAGAAAUUGUGUGGAACCGUUGUAUUUGUCUCUUUAAAGGUUUGGUAGAAUGGGAUAGUGGAACCAUCUGGGGUUGUUAAUCACAAAUUCAAUUUCUCUAAUAGUUACAGGACUAUUCAUGUUAUCUGUAUCUAUGUAUCUAUGUCUGUAUGGUAGUCAUGAGACCACUCAGGUUGUCCAUAUCUAUAUCAGGUUUCAUCUCAGGUGAUUUUGAGAAUUUGUUGGUCCUAAGUUCUCAUAUUUAUGAACAUAGAGUUGCCUAUACUAUUUCUUAUUGUCUUUUUUAAUGGUUACUAGAUCUAGAGUGAUAGCCUUUCAUUCCUGAAACAAGUCAUUUGUGACCUCUCUCUUUUUUUCUUUUUCAGUCUUACCAGGGAGUUGUCAAUUUCAUUAUCUUCAGUCAACUAGUUUCUGGUUUCAUCAAUUUUUCCUAUUGCUUUUGUUUUCAAUUUCACUGAUUCCCCCUUGCUUUUUAUUUAUUCUGCUUUUCUUUUCUCUAGAAUGUUAAAGUGGAAGCUCAUAUUACUAGUUUGAGACUGUUCUUCUAUUCUAAUAUAAGCA